CCCUUUCUCAAUAGGUAUUUCCGGCGCGGCCAGGAUUGGCUCGACUUAGCCGGAAGUCCCACCUCUUUCUGGACGCCCGCGAUUUGGCGCCGCCAGGAAGGGGCCCAAUGAGGGAUGUUGUGGCGGCAGAGGAGUCUCGGAAGACACUGGGAGGUUAGGCAACGCGUCUCUCUGAGGUGGUAGCGUGUGGGCCCAUCAGCCCACCUCUCGCUUGCGUUCUCUUCUGUGGUGUAUCAGCACUGUUUACGAGGGAUGCGUGAUUUGAGAAUCUCCAUUUGGUCUUUGAGCCUGUGUGUUCUGUGACCCCUGGGAUAGCUUGGCUUGCAGUGUACUUGGAGGCCACCAUUGCAUCAAGGAUGAAGAGGGACUACCAUCUACUUCUCUUCUUGAGAGGAAGGAUGCUAUCACAGCAUAACAACAGUGAUUCUUGAAAACCUUCUCCUCCAAUCUUUAAUUCUCAGUCAUUUGAGACCUUUGAAGUGGGUGAAGUCAUUCAGAGUCUUACAUCCAAUUAUCCUCAACUUUUUCGUACAAAUCUUUACAGGGUGGUUAUGAUCUUCACUUUGGAAUGUAGUAUUUACCCUUUUGGGGUCUUAGCCAAAACUUCCACAAGUCCUGUUUUACAUUAAGUGGAAGAUGUCCUUCUGUGUAUCUAAAUUAAACUUUUUAUAUAUAUUAAA